ACCUCGGAUCAGGUAGGGAACCCAAAUUCC
rnacentral:rRNA from 1 species